CAGUGACUGAACCAGUUAAACGGCCGCGGUAUUCUAACCGUGCAAAGGUAGCGCAAUCACUUGUCUUUUAAAUGAAGACCCGUAUGAAUGGCACAACGAGGGCUUAACUGUCUCCUUUUUUCGGUCAAUGAAAUUGAUCCCCCCGUGCAGAAGCGGGGAUAUUUACAUAAGACGAGAAGACCCUAUGGAGCUUUAGACGCAAACCAGACUCCGUCACUUACUCCAAAAUUAAAUGGACCAAACCAAGAAGGCCCUGUUCUUACGUCUUCGGUUGGGGCGACCAUGGGGUAAUAAAAAACCCCCACGUGGACUGGGAGCUCAACCCUUCUCUUUACCCCUCCUCCCAAAAUUUUAGAGCUACAGCUCUUACUCAACAGAAUUUCUGACCAAAAAUGAUCCGGCAAUGCCGAUCAACGGACCAAGUUACCCUAGGGAUAACAGCGCAAUCCCC
rnacentral:rRNA from 1 species